rnacentral:rRNA from 1 species
CCUACGGGAGGCAGCAGUGGGGAAUAUUGCGCAAUGGGGGAAACCCUGACGCAGCAACGCCGCGUGAAGGACGAAGGUCUUCGGAUCGUAAACUUCUUUGAUGCAGGACGAAACAUGACGGUACUGCAAGAACAAGCCACGGCUAACUACGUGCCAGCAGCCGCGGUAAUACGUAGGUGGCAAGCGUUGUCCGGAAUUACUGGGUGUAAAGGGCGUGUAGGCGGACCGAUAAGUCAGAUGUGAAAUGCAGGGGCUCAACCCCUGAGCUGCAUUUGAAACUAUCGGCCUUGAGUGAUGGAGAGGUAAACGGAAUUCCCUGUGUAGCGGUGAAAUGCGUAGAUAUAGGGAGGAACACCGGUGGCGAAGGCGGUUUACUGGACAUUAACUGACGCUGAGGCGCGAAAGUGUGGGGAGCAAACAGGAUUAGAUACCCUGGUAGUCCACACUGUAAACGAUGGAUACUAGGUGUGGGGGGACUGACCCCCUCCGUGCUGGAGUUAACACAAUAAGUAUCCCACCUGGGGAGUACGGUCGCAAGAUUAAAACUCAAAGGAAUUGACGG